UUAACUAUUAUAUAGUACUCAGACGACACUAAUAUUCAGGGUUUUGGGUCCUCUGGCGGGCGCUUACCAGCCGGGGCCGGUAGUCGGGCCGGAGCCUAACGGCCCGCCAAAGCAACUAAGGUAUAAGUAUUCAAGGGUGGGAGAUCUACCCGUGAGGGCAUGAACUCUGUAAUGAUCCUUCCGCAGGUUCACCUACGGAAA
rnacentral:misc_RNA from 1 species